GCGGGGAUAGCUCAGCUGGGAGAGCGUCGUAAGUAGUGGUCUUCCUUAGCCCUUUAGAGAUUCAGUCACUAAUACCUCAAUAGAGACUGAAGAUGAACUUCAAUCUUGAAAUCUGAAGGUCGUGUGUUCGAUCCACACUCACCGCA